rnacentral:rRNA from 1 species
UGGGGAAUAUUGCACAAUGGGCGCAAGCCUGAUGCAGCCAUGCCGCGUGAGUGAAGAAGGCCUUAGGGUUGUAAAGCUCUUUCAGUCGUGACGAUGAUGACGGUAGCGACAGAAGAAGCCCCGGCUAACUCCGUGCCAGCAGCCGCGGUAAUACGGAGGGGGCAAGCGUUGUUCGGAAUUACUGGGCGUAAAGGGCACGUAGGCGGCGAUGCGGGUCAGGUGUGAAAGCCCCGGGCUCAACCUGGGAACUGCACUUGAAACUGCAUUGCUUGAGGUCGGAAGAGGAGAAUGGAAUUCCCAGUGUAGAGGUGAAAUUCGUAGAUAUUGGGAAGAACACCAGUGGCGAAGGCGAUUCUCUGGUCCGUAUCUGACGCUGAGGUGCGAAAGCGUGGGGAGCAAACAGGAUUAGAUACCCGUGUAGUCC